rnacentral:tRNA from 1 species
GGAGAGGUGGCCGAGCGGUUGAAGGCGCACGAUUGGAAAUCGUGUAUACAGGAGACUGUAUCGAGGGUUCGAAUCCCUCUCUCUCCGCCA